CACUCAUGCGGGAGGCAGCAGUGGGGAAUAUUGGACAAUGGGCGCAAGCCUGAUCCAGCCAUGCCGCGUGAGUGAUGAAGGCCCUAGGGUUGUAAAGCUCUUUCACCGGUGAAGAUAAUGACGGUAACCGGAGAAGAAGCCCCGGCUAACUUCGUGCCAGCAGCCGCGGUAAUACGAAGGGGGCUAGCGUUGUUCGGAUUUACUGGGCGUAAAGCGCACGUAGGCGGACUAUUAAGUCAGGGGUGAAAUCCCGGGGCUCAACCCCGGAACUGCCUUUGAUACUGGUAGUCUUGAGUUCGAGAGAGGUGAGUGGAAUUCCGAGUGUAGAGGUGAAAUUCGUAGAUAUUCGGAGGAACACCAGUGGCGAAGGCGGCUCACUGGCUCGAUACUGACGCUGAGGUGCGAAAGCGUGGGGAGCAAACAGGAUUAGAAACCCUGGUAGUCCCAUG
rnacentral:rRNA from 1 species